GGGCACUGGGAUCGGCAGUGACUGAACAUGGUUUCCACAGCUCCCACCGUAGUUACUUCCUGGGCACUCACUGGGCCUGCCAACAACAGUGAGAAGAACAGUGUGCCAACAUAGCGUGGCUUGCCCUCUGAGCUACACAGCAGCACAGGCAUCACCACAGCCGAGCAGAGAGCGGAGAGGCGUUACCUGACGGGACUUGGAGACGCGCUGCAGGAAGGCGAGUGUGGUGGGGUUUUGACUUGGCUGCACAGACCAGCAGAAGCCAGAAGAGAGCUGGUGAAAGAGGAGAAGACACGUCAUCAGGGCUUUAUCGAGAUGGCAUUUUGAAAAGGAAUACAACAUGCUCUCACUUUUUGACUGUGAAUUCAAUUAUGGAUAGUCAGUUAUCCUCUUUUACCAGCGGGGUUCUCUAACACUGUUACAUCCUCGCGUCUUACCUGCUGUACAUCAGGCUGUCCUGCAGCACUUUACUCUCACAUGCCAGCUCAGCCGCUGGAAAACCAGGGGAAAAAUAAAUCAGAAUAAAAUGACGACAAGAGUACAGUUCCAGCUUAUGAAAUGCUAUUAAUGCCACAUAAUAAAAUAUGCCAGGGCAUGGACUCUGCACAGCGGCAUUUGAUAUUUAGGUACAAAAAUAAUACGUUUUCUCACUGGUGAAGUGAGCAGGCACCAUGACAAAGUCAUCCGUGUCACAGGAGGAGGAGUUCUUGCUGCUGCCACCCCCACCAGAGGAGUCCUUGAGGUGGAAACCAGUAGCCUCCUGGGUAGGGGAGGCCAGAGCUUUGGCACGCAAGUGCUGACCCUCAGCAAGAGACUGCUGCAGAGACGGGGAGAGAGAGAGAGAGAGUAGUAAACGAAGAAAGAAAGCACAGAAACGACACAACGAAAGAGAGAAAACCGUGUGAGAAACAGGCGUCGACUUGGUUGGUUUCUACGAUUGCACUUCAAAACAGAUAAUACAGGAAUAACAAACACAAACCGGGGGAGAGGCGAGGUGAGAGGUGGACGAGCUGCUGCAGGAGCUGGCUGACGCAGAGCUCGGGAAGCAGGUCAUGGAUGCAGUCGGAGUUGCUGCGAGCAAAUGCAAGACAACUCGUUAGACAACUCGAGAAACAGAAAUGUGCAUGAAUAAAAAAAAAAAACUAAGACACGUCAUGUCAUGAAGAAGUGGAUUGUUUAUUCUCACUUACUCUUUUUCAGAGAUGAGCUCGCCUCCAGGAAGGGAUGACAAAAAAACUCGUCUAGCAACGACACAAAGAGAAACAGAAUAAGUGGGAGGUAGUGAAGCGGAGCGACCUGUCAGAACAGUGUUGCCCAUCCAGUGUUCAUCGAUAUAGACCAACACGGGAAUACGUUUUCAUCAUAUUUGGACUCGAUAAGCAUUUAUGAAAUGCUACAUUAGUAAGUUCAUCGUCACCACGUAGUCAACGGUCUCAUUCAUUUUCCGGCCUUUAAAGUUGACUGACCAAAGUCCAUGCGGUCCUUGUGGUUGCGCUGCAGCAGACCCAGCAGCAGGUGCCUCAGGUGGCUAGAAGUCUCUCUGGGGAUGCUUUUAAAUACAGAACAGAUACAGGAUCACUUUUUAGCUGCACUCGGUUCACUUGUGUACGUUUGUACUGUCACCAAAUAUAUGAUCUCUCUCUAUUGCCUUGAAAUAAUUACAUGAAUGAAAACCGCAGUGUGCUUUCAUUAGGCAGCUGUGCGGAACUGAAACGUAAAGCCUCACAGACGCUGAUUAGGUUGGGAUGUUGGGGAUUGGUUGCGGGCUUGUCAUCGCUAACAGUGUUGUGAAUACUCUGCUGUUCGACUGUUUUAAACCACCCAGCUGGCAUGGCCGUGACUGGCAGCAUUUAUGUGAAAGAGUGCAUUUGUUUUGGUUUGUGUAAAUACACUGUCAAAGAUAAUUGGGUCUCUCUGAAGAGUUUAGGCCAGGGCUUCACUUUUUGUCGGGUAGUCGAGAUGUAUCGCAGCAAAGUUUCUCAUUUCUUAUGAGUGAAACCCAUAAAACGAAUGCAUAACAUUGGUUGAUCACAUUGGAAAUAAAUGCGCUGUCCUUA